GAUGAACGCUGGCGGCGUGCCUAAUACAUGCAAGUCGAGCGAACAGACGAGGAGCUUGCUCCUCUGACGUUAGCGGCGGACGGGUGAGUAACACGUGGAUAACCUACCUAUAAGACUGGGAUAACUUCGGGAAACCGGAGCUAAUACCGGAUAAUAUAUUGAACCGCAUGGUUCAAUAGUGAAAGACGGUUUUGCUGUCACUUAUAGAUGGAUCCGCGCCGCAUUAGCUAGUUGGUAAGGUAACGGCUUACCAAGGCAACGAUGCGUAGCCGACCUGAGAGAGUGAUCGGCCACACUGGAAUGGGACAACGGUCAGGCCUCCUCCGGGAGGCGGCGGUAGGGAAUCUUCCGCAAUGGCCGAAAGCCGAACGGAGCAACGCCGCGUGAGUGAUGAAGGUCUUCGGAUCUUAAAACUCUGUUAUUAGGGAAGAACAAAUGUGUAAGUAACUAUGCACGUCUUGACGGUACCUAAUCAGAAAGCCACGGCUAACUACGUG
rnacentral:rRNA from 1 species